AUUUUAUUAGUGAACGCGGGAUUCCCCUAGUAAUGGCGAACGAACAGGGAACAGCCCAGCGCCAAGUCCUGACACUUGACGUGUUCAGGAGAUGCGGCGUUAGUGCUUUGGUGCAUCGUACACUGCUUCGUGUUUCAAGUUCCUUUGACAGGGACUCCCAGAGUGGGUGCUAGGCCCAUAGAGACUGCGAAGCUGGUGUACGCAAACCAUUGCAUUUUAGAGUCAGGUUGCUUGAGAGUGCAGCCUAAAGUAGGUGGUAAACUCCAUCUAAGGCUAAAUAUUACAGUGAGACCGAUAGCAAACAAGUACCGUGAGGGAAAGUUGCAAAGAACUUUGAAGAGAGAGUUCAAAAGGACGUGAAACCACUAACAGGCAAACGGGUGGAACCACGAAGUGUGCCCGGAGGACGAUUCAGUUAACGUUAAAGGUUGGUGGUGUACAUUUUAGGGCGCGUAAGUGUCGGAUGUGUGCCACUUUUAAUCCUUAAUCUUAAUGCAUUUCGUUCCUCUGGUGCUAAAGCCACGUCCAAUUAGGUGACUGGAGCGGCCGUAGUGUGUGUCUCUUGGAAGGUGGCCGUUAAGUGCUUGCGCUUAGCGGUGUUAUAGCCUUGAGGCCGGUCCGCUGCCUAGUGUGCUGAUUGGUGCAAGUUCUCCUUUUAUGGAGUCUAGCAUGUAAUGGGUCUGUGUGCUUGUGGUGUCAAGGCAGGCGCAUUAGAUUGCCCUUUGCGUUCUUUCGGGAGUGUAAAGACAGUUUAGUGUCGUUUGUCUCGAUGCUGUUUGCAUGAUGGGCUUGUAUACAAACUGUGGUGCGAGUAGGUCGGUCUCCACCCGACCCGUCUUGAAACACGGACCAAGGAGCCUACCAUAUACGCGAGUCGCUCGGUCUUGAUUAGGCCUGGGAGGCGUAAUGAAAGUAAAGCUAUGAGGCUGCAUUCAUUCGUGUUUGUAGUCGCAAUAGCGGCCCGCCUGCUUUCUUUAUUGGGAAUAUGGCGGAGCUGGAGCGUAUACGGUGGUACCCGAAAGAUGGUGAACUAUGCCUGGGCAAGACGAAGCCAGAGGAAACUCUGGUGGAGGUCUGUAGCGAUUCUGACGUGCAAAUCGAUCGUCAGACCUGGGUAUAGGGGCGAAAGACUAAUCGAACCAUCUAGUAGCUGGUUCCCUCCGAAGUUUCCCUCAGGAUAGCAGGCGCUUGUUAUUACACAGUCUCAUCCGGUAAAGCUAAUGAUUAGAGGUCUUGGGGCCGAAACGGCCUCAACCUAUUCUCAAACUUUAAAUGGGUGAGAUGCAUGACUUGCUUAAUUUGAAGCCAUGCAAUUGGAUGUGAGUGCCUAGUGGGCCAGCUUUGGUAAGCAGAACUGGCGCUGUGGGAUGAACCAAACGUCGAGUUAAGGCAUCAAAUGCGUACGCUCAUCAGAUCCCAGAAAAGGUGUUGGUUGCUAUAGACAGCAGGACGGUGGCCAUGGAAGUCGGAAUCCGCUAAGGAGUGUGUAACAACUCACCUGCCGAAGCAACUAGCCCUGAAAAUGGACGAUGCUGUAGCGUGGAGCCGAUACUCGACCGUAGUUGACGAUCCUUUAAAGAAUGCGAUGUCACUACGAGUAGGAGGGCCGCAGUGAUAGCGCUGAAGGUUCGGACGGAGUCCGCCCAUCCC
rnacentral:rRNA from 1 species